CUUCAAGCUCCAGGCCUAGAGGGCUGAAAGUGGGGCAGGGCACAGUGCAGAAGGACCGCAGCCCGAAGCGCCCCUGUGGACCCCGGAGCGCUUUGCUCUCCGCUGGCACAAUGGGUACCCGCCGCUCCAAGAACGCGAAGAGAGCAAGAAGGAGGAUGGACUGGACGGCACCCACAGUCGGAGCUUUGGGCCUGCAUCAGAUUUAUUUCCCACUGCAUUCUUUUUAUGAAAAUAACAACAAUGAUGUCUAAAGCUUGUAUGGUAGGCACAAAAUCGGCACACAAUAAUAUAUAUUGAAUUAAAUUUACAUAGAGCUGUUAACCAUCAUGAUUCUUCCUGAGCCUCCACAUUUUGUAGAUUAAUUCAUUAAGUCAUGCAUUAAUUCAACAAAUAUUUAGUGAGCUCCUACUAAGUGACAGAGAAACAGAAUGCCAAGAGCCUGGCCCUCCUGGCACUUACAUUCUCCUGGGACAGAAAGACAGUAAAAAACUCAGACAUGUAAUACGACUGGGUAUUAGGCUGGGUAGCCCUGUGUGCUGUGAAGCAAAGAUUAAGGUGGGUUAGAGAGGGCCUCUCUGGGGAGAAGACAGAGACCUGAAUGAAGUCAGGAAAUGAGCCAUGCAAACUUCUGGAAGGAGAGGGUCCAGGCAGACGUACCUGCCAGUGCCGAGAUGAAGAGUUGGAAAGUGCCUGGGGUGCAGCCUGACAGGGAGGGGAGAGGAAGGAAGUGAGAUGGAAGGUCAGGCCUGGCUUUGUAGGUCUUGGAGGGGAGUUUGGGAUUAUAUAUACUUGGUGUGAUUGGGAAGCCACUUGAGAAGUUUUUUAAAAAAGGACUGACACAACUUGUGUUUUAUAAAAUUAUAAACAAAGACAGAAUUUAACUACCUUGUCCAUGGUUUCCAGGUCUGUGAGUUUCUUAACCCAGACCUCCAGCUUUGUCUCAGUCCAACAUGUCAGAGAUGCAUGCCUAGGCGAGACUGCCCCAGAAGGAGCCCAGGAGACAUCUUGAACGGUACUCCGUUCCUCCCACCCAUACUUUUAGGAAGGUAUCCAGAGUGGGGCAGUGGGUAGGGUCUCUAGAUCUGCCAGCCCGGGAAUCUGGGCUGUGGGCGAGGACUCCCGGGCCUCCGGCUUGAGGAUUCCUGGCUCCCCACCCCACCUGUUGCCUCUGCUCUGCCUACCCUGGGCGUUUUCCGGGCUGUGGAGACUGCGAGGGCCACUCUGACGCGAGAAGGCCCUGGGACUGCUCAGGCUGGUUUUGCACCUGCAACCUGUGGGGAGAGGACGCCUGGGCAGAGAGAGGCUGCCGCUCCAGCGCGGACGUGGGCGCCGUUCUCCAUCCUCUGCUGCCCCCUGGUGGUCUAGGAUAUGGCUGCCGCCUCCAGCCUCCUGCCCACCCAGCGGAACAACCUUCUCGUCUUCUCACCUUCCUUGCCUGGACAAACAAAGGCUCCUUCCCAGAAGCCAAAGGUGGUCACAAAGCACUGAGCUGAUACCACAUGGAAGAUGAGCCUCCAGAGAGGACACUGAGACUUCCUGCCACCAGGAGACUAAGCCAGGACCAGACACACACAGCCUUCCACUGCUGUCCUGGGGCAGGGGGAGGGGUGGAGGGAGCAAGGCUGCUGGGAGCUCUGACGUCCUCACAAUCCACUCACUUCAACAGUCAUGAAAAUAUUGCCAUCUUAUUUUACCCAAGUGCAUUUUAUUGUAAAAAUAUUCCAACAAUGCAGAACACGGAGUAAAAUGUGAAAGUCCCCCUUCACACACACCCCCACCCCUACCCAGACUUAGCUCCUGUUAGCAUCAUGAGGCAAUCCUUACACACUCUCCCCUGUUUUUACACACACACACACACACACACACACACACACUGUAUCUAUGGAUAUAGAUUUAUCUUCAUUUUAACUCAUAUUAAUGAGGUACUAUGACUAUAUGUGUCACUCAGCAGCUUGACUUUUUUUUGCACCUAAAUGUUUUGGUGAGCUGAUCUAUGUACAUCAGUACACACAGAUCUGCCUCAUUCUUUCCAACCUGUUGCACAGUGCCCUGUACUAGUGAGGAAACAUCACUUACUUAGCUCCUUUCCUUGUCAUGGUCAGUUGAUUUAUUUCUCAGUUUCAUUAUUAUGUAAAAUGUUGUGACACAUAGCCUUUUAUUUCCCUCGCUGUGCACAUGUGACUAUGUUCUCUCAUGUAGACCCCAGGAAUGAUUGAAUUGUUUGCAGGAAGGGGAUGCCUGUUUAAUAGUUGAUAAAUCUGGACAAAUUGAUUUCCUAAAAGGAUGCGCUAAUUUAUAUGUCCGCCAACAGCUUUUGAGACUGCCCAUUUUCUCACAACCUUAUCACCACUGGAAAUGACCAAUCUUUCAAAUUCUUAU